CAGUCGCCGCGGGAAUACAGAGGGUGCGAGCGUUAAUCGGAUUUACUGGGCGUAAAGCGUGCGUAGGCGGCUUUUUAAGUCGGAUGUGAAAUCCCUGAGCUUAACUUAGGAAUUGCAUUCGAUACUGGGAAGCUAGAGUAUGGGAGAGGAUGGUAGAAUUCCAGGUGUAGCGGUGAAAUGCGUAGAGAUCUGGAGGUAUACCGAUGGCGAAGGCAGCCAUCUGGCCUAAUACUGACGCUGAGGUACGAAAGCAUGGGGAGCAAACAGGAUUAGAUACCCCAGUAGUCCCUGUCUCUUAUAC
rnacentral:rRNA from 1 species